UGGAAAUUAAAACUCUCGAAAGAUAAGGUUUGAUGGGUUUCUCAGUUGAUAAACAUGCUAGGAGAGUGGCACAUCCCAAUCUCAAGCGGAUGGAAGCUCCCCUGUCCUUGGGACCCUUCCAGACCUUGCCCUAUGGACCUUUACAUCUGGCUAUUCAUCUGUAUCCUUUACAGUAUCCUUUAUAACAAACUAGUAAACAUAAUCGGAGCUGCCAUCCCAGAGGAACUGACGCACAAGACUUACUCCCCAAACCUUUGGAAUGUUAAAACAAGACACAGUAACCUUUGGUCACGGCCUGCAGCAGCACUGUAUCCCAAAUAAGUGCUUGUAAAGAAGAAAAAAGCAGUCCGGAUCCUCAGAGCAACCUCUUCUUGUUCCUGACUUCUUGAACAGUAGCCCUGAUGUUCAGCUGCUUUUUCCCAUCUUUCCUUGGACUCUUAAAAUAUGGAUGAGUCCGUAGUCCUUUAAAGCGCACCAAUUUAUGAGAUACAUUGAAGCUGCUCAAGAAAAGAAACCGUCUGAACCUGGAACAACCAAAAGAAAUAAGAAUUGAAAGAAGGCAAGCAUAAGAGAAGCCAGGUGAUGGCUUUUGAACCUCUUCUCUGUACUUUUUCAGCCUUUUUUUUUUUUUUUUGGAUCCUGGACAUUUUGCUGUAUUCUAUAAAGAGUAUUGAAGUUUCUUUGAAAGAUAUUCAAGUUACUUGUGGAUCAGCUUGAUUCCAUUGAGGUUUGUUUUUAAGCUCCUUUAGAGCAAUGUUACACUAUGGUGGUUUACAUGUAUCAACAAGCUGUUACGCUUCUGGAGUAUGUACUGAGACCUUGAGUCUUCAACAGGAUUUCUACACAACAGCUGAUCAGAAUUCAAAUAUCACCAAAUCUCAUUUGGGUUCUGAGAGUCAUUCAGUUUAUAUUUCCCUGGAAAUUGUUCUUUGCUGACAUCAUAUCUUAUGUGUACCACAUGAUCCAGCUGCCUCAAUUUUCCUGAAUGCUAACUUUUGUCUCUUCGGCUCUGUCAGACUUCAGUGCUUUUUUUUGGAUGCUUUCUACUUACAUUGUGGUCCAAGAAAACACUUCCUGGAAAAAGUCAAGUCACCUAUAAAGCUUAGACUCUUUUCUGUUUUUCAGAGAUCGUGGUCUUGUCAUACCUGUUUUCCAAUGUCUAAAAACUGUCAUUUGUCUUAUUUUGUUUAAUUUUCUAGUUGUUUACAUUUGCGAGUGCAGUGUCAUUUACUCUGUUGUGGCCCCAGAUCCUCUUUCCAUAAACAAGCAUUGAAGAAAAUUCUCAAUUUCCUAUUAUAUUAGAGUAAAAUAGGUCCUUCGAAUGGUUAAGAUUCAGGCUGACAUUCAUGGCAUUGUAUAUUUAGAAGCAUUUUGAAGGAUUUUGAAUUUUAUUUUAAAAUUGUACUACAUACAUCAUUUUGAAAUUAUAGUAGUGCGAUUUAAAAAUAUAUUCUAAGUGUCACACUUUAAAUCAAUAUUUUUCAAAUAUUGUAUACAAAAAAUUUAUUCCAGUGGGUAAGGGAUUCAAGUUCAAGAGUCCGCAUGUUUAAUAAAUAUCUGAAUGACUCUGAUACAGGUUUCCAAAGCAUGCAUUUUGUGAAAAGCUGUUCUAAACCUUUCAACAGUCUAAAAGCUUACCUUUGACUCCCUAUCUUACUUACCUCCUUUACUCUACUCCUGAAAAAAAGGCACAUAUCAAGGCACACAAAGCCAAAUGAUUUGAUCAAGGUACUAGGCAAAUACAGGAGGCAGUAAGAGUGAUAAUCACAAGUGUACAUUCUCAGUCAGAUUGUCUAGGUUUGAAUUCAGGCUUUCCCAUUAUUAGCUGUAUCAAAGUGCAUAGAUAAUGUAAUCCUUCUGAACCUUUCUCAUCUGUAAAAUAGGCAUAAGAAUAGCAUCGGACUGUAAUGAAGCUCAGUUACAUAAAUUAUGUGUAAGAUAUGCUCUCUAACUGCAAUCAAGAGUGAACUAAUAAUCUCUGGUCUUAAUCAAGAGUGAACUAAUAAUCUCUAAGAGUGAACUAAUAAUCUCCAGAAAUCUUUUCUUAAUCCAAACAGGGCAAAAGAGCUCUCUUACUGCUUUGCACCUUGAGCAUAUAUCCAUAUGGCCACAGCAUUGGUGCACCUGUGCAUGUGAAAGGGACUUCUUAGAAUGCUGUGACACAAUACUCACACCAACAGAUGAAUGAAUGAAGAUUAUAUGAAAACAUGGAAGCCUCAUACCCUCUUGCUGUUCCAGCUGCUGCUUUUUUUCUCUCCUCCAAGACCUUGUCCUUUUCCUCCUUCAUCUUCUUUUUUGAUGUGUUUUAGCAAACUUCGUUUUGCAUUCCUAACCUCUCUUUCUAGGCACAGGUUUUGAGCAAUAGAUUUUAUAGGGCUUUCUAAAUUCUUCCAAGCUCAAGAGGAUGAUUUACAUAUCAGGGAAACCUGAGACUAAUGUCUCUACUUUGAAUGUUCCACUAGGGUGAGGAGGAAAGGUCAUCUUAGGGCAUUCUCUCAGAGUUACAUUUACACCAAGAUAUGAACCUGUAGAAGGACAGAACAAGAAUUUGUACUGUUCAUUGUUACAUUCCCACAUUCCUGGCACCCAGUAACCAUUCAAUAAAUACUUGAUGGGUAAAAUUUACAUCUCUCACUGUGCCAUUAACACUUUCUUGAAUCUCUCUCUUUUCAGUAUCCUACAAUGCCGGCCUUUGUAGUGCUUAUCAGUGUAAUUUAAAGUGUCCAGAGUCAAAAUUUGCUCUUACUUUGAUGUUUCAAAAUUUACCAUUAUUAAUCCAUCCCUGUUAUAGACUCAAUGUUUGUGUCCCUCUAAAAUUCAUGUGUUGAAACCUAAUCCCCGAUGUGGUAUUUGGAACUGGGGGCUUUGGGAGGUGAUAAAUGAGCAUGGAGCCCUUCGUGAAUGAGAUUUGUGUCUUUAUCAAAGACAUCCCAAAUAGCUCUAUUGCCCCUUCUGCCCUCUGAGAAUACAGAGAGAAGAUGACAGCCAUUCAUGAACCAGAAAGUGGGCUCUCAACAGAUAGUGGUUCUGUCGGAAACUUGAUUUUGCACUUCCCAGCCUCAGAACUGUGAGAAAUAAAUUUAUGUUAUUUAUAAGCCA